rnacentral:rRNA from 1 species
GAUGAACGCUGGCGGCGUGCCUAAUACAUGCAAGUCGAGCGAACGGACGAGAAGCUUGCUUCUCUGAUGUUAGCGGCGGACGGGUGAGUAACACGUGGAUAACCUACCUAUAAGACUGGGAUAACUUCGGGAAACCGGAGCUAAUACCGGAUAAUAUUUUGAACCGCAUGGUUCAAAAGUGAAAGACGGUCUUGCUGUCACUUAUAGAUGGAUCUGCGCUGCAUUAGCUAGUUGGUAAGGUAACGGCUUACCAAGGCAACGAUGCAUAGCCGACCUGAGAGGGUGAUCGGCCACACUGGAACUGAGACACGGUCCAGACUCCUACGGGAGGCAGCAGUAGGGAAUCUUCCGCAAUGGGCGAAAGCCUGACGGAGCAACGCCGCGUGAGUGAUGAAGGUCUUCGGAUCGUAAAACUCUGUUAUUAGGGAAGAACAUAUGUGUAAGUAACUGUGCACAUCUUGACGGUACCUAAUCAGAAAGCCACGGCUAACUACGUA